UGGUGACCAGCUCUCGUCAUAGUUUGCCUGGGACUGAGGGAGUUUCCAGGACAUGGGGAACGUGAUGAAGC
rnacentral:miRNA from 1 species